UUCUCGAAUCCACUGACGUCACACUCUACGCCAAUCUUCGUGUGGGUCCGGAAACAACUCGGGCAUUUCUCAAGGGCAUUCUGAAGCACGUGCAGCUGCUGAAGUCGCGUCAUCGCAACUACCUCGUGAUCUGUGGCCGAAUCUGCAUCACCGAUGUUAUCGAUGUGGUGAACAAUCUUGACACGGAGUCAUGCCAUAUAACUUAUACACGCCGUCAAUCACGAUGGCUGGUUAUGGAGUCACCUUAUAUGGCGUCGUCUGACGGAUUUCCAGAUCUGAUGUCAUUGGGGAAUCAACUGGAUAACCUCGCUGUAAUGAACCACACAGCGGAUGAUAUUGAGGUGAACACGCUGAUGUGGGUCCCUGGGGGGCGACAGUGGCGCCAGGUCAACAUGGAGACGUGCAGGGAAAACUGCGCCCUGGCUGCUCAAAUAUUUCCCAACAGCAUUACGGGAUAUAAUGGGCGACAGUUAACUGUUGCAUUG